rnacentral:rRNA from 1 species
UACGUAGGGGGCAAGCGUUGUCCGGAUUUAUUGGGCGUAAAGAGCGUGUAGGCGGCCUGAAAGGUCAGCUGUGAAAACUCGAGGCUCAACCUCGAGACGUCGGUUGAAACCAUCUGGCUACAGUCCGGAAGAGGAGUGUGGAAUUCCCGGUGUAGCGGUGAAAUGCGCAGAUAUCAGGAGGAACACCGGUGGCGAAGGCGGUUCUCUGGGCAUUACCUGACGCUGAGGAGCGAAAGUGUGGGGAGCGAACAGG